rnacentral:rRNA from 1 species
GGGCCACCGUUUGUUGAGUGCAAAUAUGGAUGACUGUUUUUGCCGGCUUCACUGUCGGCUUAUAAGGGUUAUCAAAUAUCACUUUGAUUAAAUUAGAGUGCUCAAAGCAGUGUGUUACUUGGAUAUAAAUGCAUGGAAUGAUGGAAUAUGUUGUUGUUCUAUUUGUCGGUUUUUGAACGAUGAAAUGAUUGAAAGGAACCGUUGGGGGCAUUCGUAUUGUUGUGAGAGAGGUGAAAUUCUUAGACCACAGCAAGACGAACUACUGCGAAAGCAUUUGCCAAGAAUGUUUUCAUUGAUCAAGAACGAAAGUUAGAGGUUCGAAGGCGAUCAGAUACCGCCCUAGUUCUAACCAUAAACUAUGCCAACUAGCAAUCUGCUUAUAUAUGUUCUAUGAUUAAGUAGGCGGCCACGGGAAACCAAAGUAGGGUUAUGGGGGAAGUAUGGUUGCAAAGCUGAAACUUAAAGGAAUUGACGGAAGGGCACCACCAGGAGUGGAGCCUGCGGCUUAAUUUGACUCAACACGGGAAAACUUACCUGGUCCUGACACUAGAAGGAUUGACAGAUUGAUAGCUCUUUCUUGAUUUGGUGGAUGGUGGUGCAUGGCCGUUCUUAGUUGGUGGAGUGAUUUGUCUGGUUAAUUCCGAUAACGAACGAGACUCUAGCCUAUUAAAUAACACACAGAAUCUUGUCUUCUGUGGUGUUUCUUAAUGGGAUCAAGUG